rnacentral:rRNA from 1 species
UACGGGGGGGGCAAGCGUUGUUCGGAAUUACUGGGCGUAAAGGGCCAGUAGGCGGCCAACUAAGUCCGACGUGAAAUCCCAAGGCUUAACCUUGGAACUGCGUCGGAUACUGGAUGGCUUGAAUUCGGGAGAGGGAUGCAGAAUUCCAGGUGUAGCGGUGAAAUGCGUAGAUAUCUGGAGGAACACCGGUGGCGAAGGCGACGUCCUGGACCAAUACUGACGCUCAUGUGCGAAAGCGUGGGGAGCAAACAGG